rnacentral:rRNA from 1 species
GAUGAACGCUGGCGGCGUGCCUAAUACAUGCAAGUCGAGCGAACAGACGAGGAGCUUGCUCCUCUGACGUUAGCGGCGGACGGGUGAGUAACACGUGGAUAACCUACCUAUAAGACUGGGAUAACUUCGGGAAACCGGAGCUAAUACCGGAUAACAUGUUGAACCGCAUGGUUCAACAGUGAAAGACGGUCUUGCUGUCACUUAUAGAUGGAUCCGCGCCGCAUUAGCUAGUUGGUAAGGUAACGGCUUACCAAGGCAACGAUGCGUAGCCGACCUGAGAGGGUGAUCGGCCACACUGGAACUGAGACACGGUCCAGACUACUACGGGACGCAGCAGUAGGGAAUCGUCCGCAAUGGGCGAAAGCCUGACGGAGCAACGACGCGUGAGUGAAAAAGGUCUUCGGAUCGUAAAACUCUGUUAUUAGGGAAGAACAAAUGUGUAAGUAACUAUGCACGUCUUGACGGUACCUAAUCAGAAAGCCACGGCUAACUACGUG